rnacentral:rRNA from 1 species
AUACGGAGGAUCCGAGCGUUAUCCGGAUUUAUUGGGUUUAAAGGGUGCGCAGGCGGCCAUUUAAGUCAGCGGUUAAAUCGUGGGGCUCAACCCCAUUUUGCCGUUGAUACUGGGUGGCUUGAUUGCGGUCGAGGUUGGCGGAAUUCGUUGUGUAGCGGUGAAAUGCAUAGAUAUGACGAAGAACACCGAUUGCGUAGGCAGCUGACCAGACCGCAAAGGACGCUCAUGCACGAAAGUGCGGGGAUCGAACAGGAUUAGAUACCCUGGUAGUCCGCACAGUAAACGAUGAAUACUUGUUUUCGGCGAUAUAAUGUCGGAGGCAAAGCGAAAGCGAUAAGUAUUCCACCUGGGGAGUACGCCGGCAACGGUGAAACUCAAAGGAAUUGACGGGG